rnacentral:rRNA from 1 species
CACGUAGGGUGCGAGCGUUGUCCGGAAUUAUUGGGCGUAAAGAGCUCGUAGGCGGUGUGUCGCGUCGGCCGUGAAAACCUGCAGCUUAACUGUGGGCUUGCGGUCGAUACGGGCAUCACUGGGGUUCGGCAGGGGAGACUGGAAUUCCAGGUGUAGCGGUGAAAUGCGUAGAUAUCUGGAGGAACACCGGUGGCGAAGGCGGCAUCCUGGACCGGCAUUGACGCUGAGGCGCGAAAGCCAGGGGAGCAAACGGG